UCGAACGCUUCUUUCCUCCCGAGUGCUUGCACUCAAUUGGAAAGAGGAGUGGCGGACGGGUGAGUAACACGUGGGUAACCUACCCAUCAGAGGGGGAUAACACUUGGAAACAGGUGCUAAUACCGCAUAACAGUUUAUGCCGCAUGGCAUAAGAGUGAAAGGCGCUUUCGGGUGUCGCUGAUGGAUGGACCCGCGGUGCAUUAGCUAGUUGGUGAGGUAACGGCUCACCAAGGCCACGAUGCAUAGCCGACCUGAGAGGGUGAUCGGCCACACUGGGACUGAGACACGGCCCAGACUCCUACGGGAGGCAGCAGUAGGGAAUCUUCGGCAAUGGACGAAAGUCUGACCGAGCAACGCCGCGUGAGUGAAGAAGGUUUUCGGAUCGUAAAACUCUGUUGUUAGAGAAGAACAAGGACGUUAGUAACUGAACGUCCCCUGACGGUAUCUAACCAGAAAGCCACGGCUAACUACGUGCCAGCAGCCGCGGUAAUACGUAGGUGGCAAGCGUUGUCCGGAUUUAUUGGGCGUAAAGCGAGCGCAGGCGGUUUCUUAAGUCUGAUGUGAAAGCCCCCGGCUCAACCGGGGAGGGUCAUUGGAAACUGGGAGACUUGAGUGCAGAAGAGGAGAGUGGAAUUCCAUGUGUAGCGGUGAAAUGCGUAGAUAUAUGGAGGAACACCAGUGGCGAAGGCGGC
rnacentral:rRNA from 1 species